GAGGAAUAUUGGUCAAUGGGCGGAAGCCUGAACCAGCCAUGCCGCGUGCAGGAAGACGGCCCUACGGGUUGUAAACUGCUUUUCUGCGGGAAGAACGGCCCCCACGCGUGGGGGUGUGACGGUACCGCAGGAAUAAGGAUCGGCUAACUCCGUGCCAGCAGCCGCGGUAAUACGGAGGAUCCGAGCGUUAUCCGGAUUUACUGGGUUUAAAGGGUGCGUAGGCUGUUCGCUAAGUCAGCGGUGAAAUGGCGCGGCUCAACCGUGCAGCUGCCGUUGAAACUGGCGGGCUUGAGUGGGUUCGAGGCAGGCGGAAUGCGCGGUGUAGCGGUGAAAUGCAUAGAUAUCGCGCAGAACGCCAAUAGCGUAGGCAGCUUGCCAGGCCCCAACUGACGCUGAGGCACGAAAGCGUGGGGAUCAAAC
rnacentral:rRNA from 1 species